GGCAACCUGCUGGGGUCGUCUUCCAUAGUGUGGCAGCUUUGUUCUUUUGCUCUGUGCUGUAACUCUUGCUACUGCUCACUGUUUGGGUCCACACUGCUUUUAUGAGCUGUAACACUCACCGCAAAGGUCUGCAGCUUCACUCCUGAAGCCAGUGAGACCACGAGCUCACCAGGAGGAACGAACAACUCCAGAUGCGCCACCUUAAGAGCUGUAACGCCUUAAGAGCUGUAACACCGCGAAAGUCUGCAGUUUCACUUCUGAGCCAGCGAGAUGCGAACCCACCAGAAGGAAGAAACUCCAAACACAUCCGAACAUCAGAAGGAACAAACUCCAGAUGCGCCACUGCUGGAGUGGAAUGAUGUGAUCUUGGCUCACGGGAACCUCCAUCUCCUGGGUUCA
rnacentral:lncRNA from 1 species